rnacentral:rRNA from 1 species
UACGUAGGGUGCAAGCGUUGUCCGGAAUUAUUGGGCGUAAAGAGCUUGUAGGCGGUUUGUCGCGUCUGCUGUGAAAUUUCGGGGCUCAACCCCGAACUUGCAGUGGGUACGGGCAGACUAGAGUGUGGUAGGGGAGACUGGAAUUCCUGGUGUAGCGGUGAAAUGCGCAGAUAUCAGGAGGAACACCAACGGCGAAGGCAGCUCUCUGGGACGUUACUGACGCUGAGACGCGAAAGCGUGGGGAGCAAACAGG